GACGAACGCUGGCGGCGUGCUUAACACAUGCAAGUCGAACGGAGAUAAUAGUAAUAUUAUCUUAGUGGCGGACGGGUGAGUAACGCGUGGGCAACUUGCCUCAGACUGGGGGAUAACACAGGGAAACUUGUGCUAAUACCGCAUAACAUGGUUGAAGGACAUCCUUCGAUCAUCAAAGGAGUAAUCCGGUUUGAGAUGGGCCCGCGUCCGAUUAGCUAGUUGGUAGUGUAAUGGACUACCAAGGCGACGAUUGGUAGCCGAACUGAGAGGUUGAUCGGCCACAUUGGGACUGAGACACGGCCCAGACUCCUACGGGUGGCUG
rnacentral:rRNA from 1 species